UAAGCGUACAUAAAAUACUCCACACAUCAUUUAUGUUCUAAAAACUAAAAACAAACUCUUUUUUCUUUGACUUUUACAACAGAAACCAAGUACAUUUUUGCAUUGAUCAAUUCCACAAUUAGAUUAUAAGCUUGUAGAUUAAUGAACAUAAUUAAUAUGAAUGUUUAAUUUUGAAUUCUGUACUAUUCCUCGGGACACUUGACACAACAAUCUACCAUUAAUAUACAUUAAUUUGUGUAAAAGAAAUAUGCAUAUAGAUAAAUAUUAGUUCAAGAAGUCUGAAUCAUUUUUUGUUCUUCAAACUUCUUUAACUAAAGAGACUACUGCCAAGUUCGUUAUUCAUAAUCUUUCCUCAAACUACAUUAUAAAAUCUAUAAGUUUGAAAUCUUCUGAACUCAAUAAAUUUUCAUAAACAUGAAAUAUAAAAUACAACUAAGCUCACAUGACAAAUACUAUUAUCACAACACAAAUAAACACAUAUACAGUAAUACUAAAAAGAUGGCUACUCAAAUAUGGAACAUUGCACUACAUAUGAACUUCUGGGAAAACAUGAACAUUGCAUUAUCUGUGAUAGUUUGAGAUGGUAUACGCAGGGAUAUUUCUAAAAUUCAUUAAUAAUUGGCAAUUUUGAAAAUAAUAUACAAAUAAUCAAAUACAUUGUUCCAAUUUGAAAAAGAUAUCUGUAUAUUUGUUUUGUACAAAGCCCAAUUUCACAAACGAUAAAAAUGAUUCUGCAAUGUUCAUUUCAACACAAACCCUACUACCAUUCUUUUACACAGUGUGCUAUGAUUAUAACUAUAAAUAGCAAUAUAUCAAAACACUUAAACAUUUCCCCUUAAAAAACUAUCAGGAGCAUAUUGUAAUGAUUUUGUCUGAUACAAACUGUUGCCUAAUGAUAAUUUGAGUUUCCCUAAAUUGAUCAGGAUAAAACGUUUACAGAUUGAAGUUGAUGGGGAGGGAAAUAAUGCUAUUCAUGCUAUUGGUUCAAUGGUCAUUGGUCUAUGUCACCGUUACUAUACAAAAUGAUGGAAAAUAUUAAUUUAAAGUUUUUUGCGGGGAUAGUACACCACUAUGAUUAGGAACUCAUUUAUACGUCAAUUAAAAUAUAAGCCAAACUAGUGAAAAGUAAAAUCACAAAAAUACUGAACUCCGAGGAAAAUUCAAAACGGAAAGUCCAUAAUCACAUGGCAAAAUCAAAUGAGUAACACAUCAAACAAAUGGUCAACAACUAUCAUAUUCCUGACUUGGUAUAGGCAUUUUUAAAUGUAGAAAAUAGUGGAUUAAACCUGUUUUUUUAUAUAGUGAACAUGUAUUCGUUCCUCUAUACAUACUUAUAUGUUGAGCCCAUGAAUGGAAAAUGAUUUGUAGAUGUAACAUCAGCUGGCAGUGCUAGUGUUUUAACUUAUUUUCUCUGACAUGAUUAUUGAUAAUCUGAAAAAAAAAUCAUUCAUAGAGUAAACUUCCAAGAAAGAUAAUUCACAAAUGUUACAUUCCUUUGAAAAACAAUAUCUCUCUUUUGAAUACAGUAGCUAUAUUAUGUAUAUUGCAGUAUUGUGAUUAAAAAGGUUUGAACAUCACAAAAAGUUUGAACAUAUGAAAAUAUCAAGCUAUGUAAUUUUGAAUAUUGUCAACACAGUAUUUUACACUAGUUGUCUUUGUUUACUAUCUUACCAGUCAGAACACUUUUAAUGAAUAAUAUUAAAUCACGUUAUUAUUUGAUUUAGAGUUCGAGUAGGACAGAUAGGAAAUGUAGAAUCAGUCAAGGUUUCAACAUUUGGUCAGCUUAGAAGGUAAGAAUGUUUUUAUGACCAGUAAUGUUUCUGAAUUGCUUCAGUACAGUAUUAACACACGUUCCUUCACCUUAAACAUGUAAUAUGCAAUGUAGGAUAGGUAUGAGUGUCUAGACGUAAUUAUCUUUAUCUACAUUUUACCAUUGUGUAUCUAGAUUGCGUUGUCAUUGCUUACAUAUUCAUCGAUUCUACUGUUAACCAGCACUUCGUUAAAGGAAAUUGAUCAAAUGGUAUUUUUUUUUACCUCAAUAA
rnacentral:lncRNA from 1 species